GGAGUUGUGGCUCAGUGGCAGAAUACUCGCCUAGCCAUGUGGGAGGUCCUGGGUUCCAUCCUCAGCACCA
rnacentral:tRNA from 1 species